rnacentral:lncRNA from 1 species
UAAGCUGAUGAUACCCCUGUUAUGUUCAGAGUGUUGUGCCAGAACUUCCCACUCGAACAAUGUAUUAUCUCGUUAAUUUCUGGGUAUGAACUCUAUGGGCUAUGGAGCAUUUGUUUUGCCUUUGUGUCAAGUGUCAACUACUCUCGUCAGAUCCAUGAGACAAGUAAAAUGUUCUUUAGGGCAUGUACAAUGGUGCUAUCUUAAGAGUGCCACGUAGGAUAAAUGAUGAGGUGGAGGAGAGAGAACUCAUAAGAGAAGGCUUGUCUUCUCUUAUUUAAGAUAAGACAAGAGAUGAUCUCUUAGCAUAAUAUAUCUCACCAUAUUUUUAGGAAUUGCUAAUUAUUGAAGAUAAGAUUAAGAGAUGACCCAUUGUAGACAUUUUUCUUUGUCAUCUCUAAAUUACAUGUAAAACUUAAGAUAAAACUAUCUUAUCAACCAUUGUACAUGCCCUUAUGCCUGAGUUCGUUCUGCUUGUUCUUGGUCUACUUAGGAUUGUUUGUAGUAUAUGUUUCUGGCUUUACAUUUCAAACGUGUGCUCCCUCUGUUUCAAAAUUUAUGUUCAGAUUUGCUUUGAUUCAUAUGAAGUGCUUCUGAACAAGAAUCCAGUAAUGUUGAAUCUGUGUAGCAUAAACAACAUUGGAGUGAUCAAGUACAGCUUCCUCUUAUCAGCAUUCCACUGACCGUUUAUUGACGGUGUU